rnacentral:rRNA from 1 species
UACGGAGGGUGCAAGCGUUAUCCGGAUUCACUGGGUUUAAAGGGUGCGUAGGUGGGCAGGUAAGUCAGUGGUGAAAUCUCCGGGCUUAACCCGGAAACUGCCAUUGAUACUAUCUGUCUUGAAUACCGUGGAGGUGAGCGGAAUAUGUCAUGUAGCGGUGAAAUGCUUAGAUAUGACAUAUAACACCAAUUGCGAAGGCAGCUCACUACGCGAAUAUUGACACUGAGGCACGAAAGCGUGGGGAUCAAACAGG